CUGUGAUUGUGCAACUAACACAAGAUUCACAACUCAUUACUAGAUGUCGCCACUGUCGUUCUUGUUGUUUACGUCCCCAUGUUAUGAAACGAGACGAAAUGGGCGAAACAAAAAUUUGUUACUAAUUAUACUUAUAUUCCUGUGAUUUCAAAUACCAAAUUGAACUUCAUAUCUUAUAUGCACAGCUAAUUAGCUGUCAGUCAUCCCAACAAGUUUGACUUUUAGUGCUCAGCCACUUUCCAUCCAUUAGAUCCUCAUGCUGUCAAAAGCCUAAAACUCAUGUUUGAAGCACACAUAUAGUGGAAUAAAAAUGUUCAAAAUAAGGUAUUUUCCCAUUACUGUUACCCCACCAACCAAACUACGUCAAAUGCCUUUACUAAAUCAUCACCCAUAUAAUAAAGCAUCAGGAAAUUUAUCCCACCGAUGGAGUAAUGCAGUUUGUAGCUGUAAUUCAAUUAUUACGGGUUUUCAUCAUGAAGUGUGCUUCUUAGAAAAGAUAAAGAUUGAUAUGCUUUUUUAAUUUUUAUAUUUUCAUCAAUGUAACACAAUUUUUUUUUACAGAGCACGCAAGAUCCCCAUGGACAUCCUUGAGUCAAUGCUGGAUUUUAUCUUUGACAGAAGAGGGACUUCCAGCAACGUUCUGCUCCAUCCUUAUCUUCAAGACGUACGCUCAUACAGCUUCACUGCUUCAGCGCUUCUUAUGCUGCUACACGUCAACUUUUCUUGCUUCACUGGCGAGUUGGAUCACUUCAGUUGCUGUGACACACCUGCAGUCGCUCACCAAGGGAUUAUGGCCAGGUUUAUAUGCAGAGGAGACGUUGAGAAGACCGACACCAAAAGGUCGCCGGUAUUUCAAAAAUGUCAGCGCGGAUCAUCAUUUGUUGUUGGUAAUAUGUAUUGUGUUAGUUAACCCGUUGGUUGCCACGCCUUUGUUCCACCAUGUUAGCUCUGUAGCACGGGCCGCGCUGUUCGGUCUCGUGGUUUACUUUCCGCGGGGUCUGAAAGUCGCAUCAGCCCAAAAUUCGCCGCAAGGCGCCUGUUAGGCAAUGCACCAUAGGGACUUACCCCUUGUCGAUACGGUGAUGGAUUCUAGAGGUUGUGCAUUCCAUCUUCUCCUGUCACCGUGUCACCCCGGACUUGUCAGCAAUGGCAAGUCCCACUUUGGUCAUGGAUCCUUCAGACGUGGCGCGAGUAGUAGAGAGCGCCAUACAACCUACAGGUUGUAUGGCGUGGCAGCCAACGGGUUAACUUAAGUGUAUGUAUGUAUUUAUGUGACUGUAAAAUGUGGUGGAAUUGUGGGUGGAGGUGGGACAAUAAAGCAAUUCCUUUAAA